GCGCUAGUGGCGGAACUGGUAGACGCCCCGGAUUUAGGUUCCGGUGUCCGUGAGGGCGUGGGAGUUCGAGUCUCCCCUAGCGCA
rnacentral:tRNA from 1 species